rnacentral:rRNA from 1 species
AAACUUUCAACAACGGAUCUCUUGGUUCUGGCAUCGAUGAAGAACGCAGCGAAAUGCGAUAAGUAAUGUGAAUUGCAGAAUUCAGUGAAUCAUCGAAUCUUUGAACGCACAUUGCGCCCUGUGGUAUUCCGCAGGGCAUGCCUGUUCGUGCGUCAUUU